AUAUGUUAAUAGCAUAUUCAUUUUGACGUUUAGCUGCAGAAGAAGCACCGGCUAACUCCGUGCCAGCAGCCGCGGUAAUACGGAGGGUGCGAGCGUUUAAUCGGAAUUACUGGGCGUAAAGCGCAUGCAGGUGGUUUGUUAAGUCAGAUGUGAAAGCCCGGGGCUCAACCUCGGAAUUGCAUUUGAAACUGGCAAACUAGAGUACUGUAGAGGGGGUAGAAUUUCAGGUGUAGCGGUGAAAAUGCGUAGAGAUCUGAAGGAAUACCGGUGGCGAAGGCGGCCCCCUGGACAGAUACUGACACUCAGAUGCGAAAGCGUGGGGAGCAAACAGGAUUAGAUACCCUGGUAG
rnacentral:rRNA from 1 species